GAUGAACGCUGGCGGCGUGCCUAAUACAUGCAAGUCGAGCGAACAGACGAGGAGCUUGCUCCUCUGACGUUAGCGGCGGACGGGUGAGUAACACGUGGAUAACCUACCUAUAAGACUGGGAUAACUUCGGGAAACGGGAGCUAAUACCGGAUAAUAUAUUGAACCGCAUGGUUCAAUAGUGAAAGACGGUUUUGCUGUCACUUAUAGAUGGAUCCGCGCCGCAUUAGCUAGUUGGUAAGGUAACGGCUUACCAAGGCGACGAUGCGUAGCCGACCUGAGAGGGUGAUCGGCCACACUGGAACUGAGACACGGUCCAGACUCCUACGGGAGGCAGCAGUAGGGAAUCUUCCGCAAUGGGCGAAAGCCUGACGGAGCAACGCCGCGUGAGUGAUGAAGGUCUUCGGAUCGUAAAACUCUGUUAUUAGGGAAGAACAAAUGUGUAAGUAACUAUGCACGUCUUGACGGUACCUAAUCAGAAAGCCACGGCUAACUACGUG
rnacentral:rRNA from 1 species